CAGCCGCGCGCCGGGCCCGGGAGGAGUGCUCGCGGGUGUGUCCGUCCGUCCGUCCGUCCGCCGCCCCCGCCCCCCUGCGGUGGCUCCCGGCUCGGCCCGCUCGGCGGCCGCGCCCGGCAGAUGCACGGCGCGUGGCACCGGCUCCUGGGCCCCAGCCUCCCGGCCCCGCCCGCCCAGGGUUGGCUGACGGGACCGAGGCGAGCUCGCCGUCCUCUCUCAACACCUGAGGAAACUGGCGGAAAAGUUUGAGAACGAAAAGUCCAAUCGUCUUUCAGCUUCCGCCCUCCCUAUGACACUCCAGCCACGACAAGACCAGGAGGCUGGAGUAAGGAAGAAGGAUACAAUGGGACAAAGGAGAGAGUACCCCUGAGGCUGGGCAGGGGAGGAAGCAGAGAAAAGCAAGGGGUGAGCCUUGCCUGGCCUUCCUUGGCUCCUAGCAAAUCAGCAGGUGUCUCCUGCAUAUCUAAGAGCCUUCCUGCACAUGGGCUCAGGAGAGAGUCCCAGGAUGGUGUAUGCUUAUUUGCCUCACUCACUUCCAACAUGGCCAUGUAAGCAGUGCACAGAAGUGGGGGUGUGCCCAGGCCUCAAAUGUUUGGGCUUGUCCUCUGGUGCUCCUGCCUUCACCAUGAGAUAUGUAUACCUUGUGUGAGUCACAGUUCCAAGAUGGAGAGAUACAUGGAACAGACCUAACCCAAGCCUAGCUGAGUUCAGCCAACCUGCGGACCCAAGAGUGAAAAGAAAGAAAUGUCUCUUGUAAGCCACUGAGAUUUGGGGAUUAUUUGUUACACAGCAGUAUCACAGCCAAGCCUAACUAAUGAGUGUUCAUGGUUUUUUUUAUUGCAUGGAACUGCUCCAGUACUCAAGUCUGAGAUGCUCACUCUGAGGCAUAUCAUCAAGGAAUUGAGAUUUAGUGAGCAGUUUUUCCCCCCUCCAGACUCCUUUCCAUGACCUCUCCUGGAGUGUGCAUCUCCUACAUUUAUAGGACAAUUAACCACAUGGAAGAAUUUUGCCUCCUCCCCAACAAGCCAUUCCACAGGUGCUCAGACCUGCCUGUCCCUGACGAGGGCUGUUCUUGUUGUGGUCAGACCUCAGCUUCUUGGGGACAAUGAUGAGGCUGGAGCUCAGAGAGAUGGAGGAGCCUCUGAAGCUGCAGCAGCCGGAGCAGAACGCACAGCUGCAGAGCCCUCUGGAAAGAACAGAGAAGAGAAGUGGACGUCACAGACCUGAACGAGGAUGUUCUCUGUGAUGUCAGGUAAUGGGGACCCAGUGAUGAAUAGAGAUUCUUCAAGCUGCUCAGAGCCUAGCAGGGGACCUCGAGCCCUAAAGAAGCACAGGCGGAAGGAGGGUCAGUGGGCACAUCUGUGGAGACUGCACCCCUUGUUUCCUGGCACUGGAGGAGAUUAGUGAGGACACCUGGUUUCUUCUCAUUUUGCACAGAGAGAGAGAGAGGCUCAAGGGUUGUGGGCUCAGCGGCCGUGUGAUUGAUGACUGAGAAAAGCUGGGUUUUAAAAAAAUUCUUACAGAGGACUGCCCUCCCUAGACCCCUGAAGCUCUUCAGGGACACCUGACCUGUGGCCUUGACAGGAAUUCUAGGAGAAGUCAGGAAAGAAGAGGACAGGUUGACAGAUCCAAGCCACUGUCAUAUCCCUCCAGAGUGGCAAGCCUCUCUGUCACACAACAUGGUACUGGGCACACAUCAAGAUUUUCAUCAAUGGAAAGGGAGAUUGGUGUUGGAUGAGGUCAAGAGGCCUGCUGUUCACAACAGGCUUUCCCUGUGAUCAGCCACCGUCAACGCCCGUGCUCCUGCAGGAUCCCAAGGAAGAGCACACGUCGAGACCUCAGCCCUUCAGCUGGAAACCUUUGGGUGGUCUCCCCAUCAUCAGGUGAACUAGAUGCAGUUUACAAAAACAGUUGGAUUAUGGCAAGAUGACAUAAAAAUGACAAAAAAUGAGGCACAGGAGAUGGAAGAAUAGGAGAGAUGAAUGGAGCCAGGUGUGAGCCAAGGCCAAGGAAAGCACAGUAAGUGGCAUGAGUCACAGCCCAAGAAAUAAAAGCGAACAGGAGUGGAGUUGGCACACAUCACACUGUGAGGCCAGGAUGCGAGGACACGGGACGAAGCACAGCGGAAGCAUACCAGUGACACCGAAAUCGUGUCACAUUCUCGGAGUGAUGUUCUUCCUGGAUUCUUCCUUGAAAAGAAGCUUCAUCAGGCCCCAGCUGCUGACCUCAGCGGCACCUGGCACACAUCAGAUGUAAGCACCAGCUAUGUAACCACCAGCUAUGGUGGCAGAACAAACAUUUCCAACUGCCACACCCGUCAUACAAGGGCUUGGUGAUUUGCCCAGGAAUGAGCUCAUAAGUUCUCCAGAUUCAGUGACCAGACUAGAGCAACAGCGUUGAAAGAGCCAAAUGAUGUGACAGAACUGGGCUUCACGAUGGGCCACUGCUCCUGCAGAUGUCCACCCAAGGGACACAACUACCCUUAAUUUCCAACUUUACCCAGGCUGCCUGGGACCUGACUCCUUUGUCCCUAGAGCAGGCCAUGACCUGGGAGUGCUGUGAGAGGAGGGGCUUUGUCACUUCAUGAUUCACCGAUUGUCCAUCCUUCUCUGCUGGAGGACCUUGAAGGAGGCACAUGUGUCCAGUUAGGAGGAUGCUCCAGGAAGCCCCCAGGCAGUGCCUGUAAAACUUUCCAUGUGCCUGUGAAACACCUGGGCAUCAUGAUUCUGCAUUUCUAACCAACCUCCAGGAAGAAAUGUGUCUUGGCUGGAGGCCCAUGUUUCGUUCCAGCACAUCCUUUUUACCAAAAGAGCCGUCCCUGGAGCUGCCAACAGUGUUUACGAGAAAGCCAUCCAACAAUACUUUGGAUCUGGGAGCGUGGCCUGACCACGGACGUGGCCUUCCCCGCCCCGAGAACCAUCCAUCGGAAAGCCUGGCACACGGUAGAGUGUCUUUAUUUUUACUCCAAAAUGUAAAAAAUGUAAAGCUGGUUCCUUUCUUUCUUUCUUUUAACAGCUGGGAAAACUCCUGUCAGUGGAUGCAGUGUCCUUUCCAGAUUCAAUAUUGUGCAAACUGCAUAUCGGCAAAUGGAGUAAACAAAUAUGUCCAUGGUGCUUCCUGAUGCACAGAGAGAUGGGGCCGCCCCGAUACAGAGACGCAGACCUGCCGAUCGGCACGGGAGCUGCUGAAACUGCUCCUCCACCAGCUCUGCUACCAUCUCUCUCCUUCAGAACAGAGUCUGAGAGCCUGGGGUGAUGGGCCACUCGGAUGCCCAGCAGCAGGGGACCCCUGGAGUCACGCAGACCUAGGGUGGCCGCAGGUUGGAUGGGAGCUCUCAUUGGCUGCGGUGGGGACUUACCACCUGACCAGUCCUGCGCCUACGCUAAAAGCCCCACCCUCUUCAGUCCCACCUGAACCGCAAGGCUCUCACCCCCAG